AUGUCUGAAUGAGGAUUAUGGCAUUCAGUGCAUACAAGCAGCUUGCAAACUUCUAGAGAAGAUCUGCAAAAAAGAAAGGCGAACUGAUAUUCCUGUUGCUUGCAUGAACCUUGUGGCCUCUGUAUCAGACUUUGCCCAGACUACACAACAAACAGACUCUUUUUCUGAGAAGACUCAUGAGUUACUCAGUGAUGCCAAGCAAACUGUCAGAGCGUGGAUUGGACAAACUUUUAAAGCCAAACUAUUGCAAAAAGGCUAUCUAUCACGUGUCAGCUUCACUCCAGAGAUUGAGGUAAGCAGAGCAAGUAUAUACAUACAAACUAACCAAUGGUAGAAUAUUUAACCUAUAUUAUUAUUAUUAUUAUUAUUAUUAUUAUAUUUGUGCUUGUUCUGCUUUACAGAUGUGGAAUAAUAUUAUUGCCAUAGAUUUCAUGAGUAUGGCCUUCACUAAAGAAUGGAGAGAGACCUUCACACAGGACUUUGAGGGAAAAUAUCAACAGGAAGUUCAUCUGGACCAAAUUGAGGUUUAUUGCUCAAAGAUUGAGGAACUUAAAGGCUCCCAGCCUUUUUUGGUGGGUAGCGUGGAGAAGUGUGCUCUCCAGGCUGUUUCCACAAUAUGCCAGGCUAAAUCUGAAAGGCAACUUUUUGAGAGAUUGAAUAAAUUCCGCAUAAACUGGAAGAUUAAAUCUCUUGUGUCUACCAUCAUCCUAAAUUCCUGGCCAAGAGACAGCAAAGGAACAUGUCUGGAGGAUGAAGAAGUUGUUCUCAAACAUCUUUUGGGCUGGACAGCAGCUAAGAAUAUCUUUGAGCUUCAUGGUGCUGAUGAAAAACUGAUCAAUCAACUUUCUGAAGAUGCUAAAAAGAAAUUUGACAUGGCAUUCUCAUUAUUCAAAAACAUUUCAAAUCAGCUUGUUACAGGAAAAAUAAAGAUAAAGCUACUCAAUCACAUCUUGCAGAAGAGUAGCGCCUUCUUUGAGCUGCUUAAUUUAGACUGUUUUUGUGAAAAUUCAAAAUACAUGGACACCAAAGCCAUGAAGAGGCUUCUUGACUGUAGACAAGAGGAGGUGAAAGCUAUUUAUCAUGAGUUAUCACUGGUGGAUGCUCUCAUUACAAUGUGCCGCAAUCUACAGAAACAUGCGAGGGUUGAUUUUGAAGGGUUGGAAGACAAACGCCAUAUUGACAUUGAUGAGAUGGACCUGGACAAGUUUAUGGAAGUUCAUUUAUUAAAUCAAAUUCGCUCUGCAAAGCCAAUAUUAGUCAGCUACUUUGAGCUUGAAGAUGAUGUUCGAUCUAUGGCAGAGGUCCUAAAUGCCUUCGAAGACAGCUACAUCUUCAAAAUAUGUUUGAUGAAUGAGGCAACAAAGUUUGCUAAAGAUAAUGAAGCAAUUCCUCCAGCAGGCCAUUUGGUUAUCUCACCCAAAAAGCUUCAGAGUGACAUAUUUACACCAUGCUACAAUGCCUACAGAAACAUCUACACAGCGCUUAAAGAUGGCACCAUCACUUUUGAAAAUAUUGAUGUGACAUUCAGAGCCUACAAGGGAAAAUAUGAAGAUCUUGCAGCGGAAGUUGCAAUCAUAUGCAGACUGGAUCGCAGUGAUGACCAAGGUUGGGUCCAGACAAGAGUCCAUCAGAUUGAGCAGUACCAUGAGCUUCAUCUGGCAGUAGAGUCAGCUAAGGUGGUCAAGAAGGUCAAACAAACACUCGGCUUAGAGGGAGACUUUCAAGUCCUGGAGAAGUUACUUAAUACUACACACUUGGAUUUUAAAAAGGAGCAUCUUGACAGCAUUGACAAUGAGUUGGUGCAGGCAAAAAUCAUGCUUGUGGAUAUCACAGAACCCCGUAGACUGUGCCUUCAGGAGCUUGACCAAAAGAAUUUUGUUAUGUGGGUAAAAGAGGCUCUUAGAGGUAAAUAAAUGUGUGUUUGAACUGGUAAUUGAAUUUGAU
ensembl:lncRNA